UCUCUUCGUCCUUGCGUCCGUCCUCCCGGCCUCCCUCCCGAGUCUAUAAAUCCGAACGAUGCCGCGAGACCGAGGCGAACCUCCGGCCGUCCGUAUCUACACCGUCUGCGACGAGUCCAGAUAUCUAAUAGUGAGAAACGUGCCGGCAUUAGGAUGCGGCGACGAACUGUUGAAGUUGUUCGGAUCGUAUGGAGAGAUAGAAGAAUGCAAACCUAUGGAUGCAGAAGACUGUGAACCUUUCACUGAUGUUUAUUGGAUUAAAUUUUCACAGGUCGGCAAUGCAAGAUUUGCAAAGCGGAAACUGGAUGAGUCUGUUUUUCUUGGAAACCGAUUACAAGUUUCAUAUGCACCUCAGUUUGAGAGUCUAUUGGAUACAAAGGAGAAACUGGAGGGCAGGAGAAAGGAAGUCCUAGGACGAGUAGGACGAAUAGAGUGUGAGUUUUCAUUUUAUUGCACACAAGUUGGGAAAAUGGGAGGGUCGAGCUCUCAACUUACCAAUUAUUCGCAAACCCUAGAGACUUCUUAUCAGCAUUUGCCAACACAGGCGCCAUCAGAAUCAAAUAGUUUAGAGCUGCAGAUAAGCCCUAAGCAGAGGAACUAUUGUAAAGCCAGUCAAAAUUCUAGUGAAGAUGAUUUUAUCAGCCAUGUGUCCUCUAACAAGGAAUACUUUGCAUCAGCAUCAAUGAAUGAGACUGUUAGAUUGGUCAGAGGGAAGCUGGAUAAGAUACAUUCUAGCAGCGAAGCUGCACCAGCAUCCAAGAGAACACGGCCCGACAACAGAAGAAGAAUUUGAUGUUUGAAAGCCUAGAAAGCUUGCAGUGCUAUACUCGUCCUCUUGAAUUUGUUCCUUUCUUGUCAUACCGUGCGAUAAUAGUGGAUCAUUGUACUUAGCAGUCAUUAUGACAAAAGCAGGUAACCCAGAUGGAAACCUUGGGCCGUAUUUCUUAUGGCGAUAAUCAUAUGGUGAUGGUGUCUGUCCGCUCACUCUCAGUAAAGGGGAAUUUUUUUUUUUUCAAAUGUUUAACUGUCAUAGCACUAGACAAUGAGUUGUGCUUGGAGUAAGCUUCUGGUAGUCCUGUUGUGAUGGGUUGGUUGAAUCCAAAGUCGGGUCAGGCCAUGACGACGGCUGGACUAUUUUUACAUGUAUGUUAUCUUCUCCAUCAGGGCAUCAGGUUAUGCAUGCUGCUUUCUCUCAUCCUGAGUUAUUCUCCUCUUGUCAAUUGGCUUCCUCUGUACAUUAUGCCCACUGAGGCUCCGGGACCUCUUUAGUCUUUUAUGGUGCUUUUUCUUGACCAUCUUUGGUUUUGUGAGAGAUGGUGGUGGAGCUGGCUUCACUGCUUGCAAGGAAGGUGGUCAAGUAUCAUUUGCAAAUUUAAUUUGUGUUCUUAUAAUAAGUUCAAGUGCUUUGAGAUUU